rnacentral:misc_RNA from 1 species
GCACAUUCAUCCUGCACGGUAAUUCAAAUGGACAGAAUAAUGCGUUCGGACGUAAUGCAGUAGCGUGUAAUUUUGAUCGUACAAUUUUACAUCAACACGAACGCCAUGAAUACAAACUAACACGCAGAGAACAAAGUUAUCAGGAGGAGCCAGUUGGUUAGUUUGCUUUUGGAAUAACAUGAAAGGAGAACAUGCGAUCAAUGAUUAGUAUAAUGCAUACAGUGGUUGCUAUAAUUAGACAGAAGCACUUGAACGUUAUGAAGAUGAAAGACGCGAAGAAUGUAAAAGGAAAUAUAAAAGAAUGAAGUCAAUAAUGCACAAACCGAGGAGGUGGAAUGAAAAGUUCUUGAAAUAAAGAAGAUAGCCUUACAGCAUAUGGCGUAACUUUAAUAGGCCAGCUAUCGGAAAAUUCUAUCGCAUUGCUUUUACCUCCUUGCCAUUUAAAAGGCUCUUAUACCGCUAGAGAGCAUAUGACCUUACUUUUAUUGCUGUAACUCAAAAUACAAAACAACAGAUACAAUAUUCAUACUAGAAGCUAUACUGCGAAUUUUUUUAAAUUCAUACAUUCCGAG